rnacentral:rRNA from 1 species
UACAGAGGGGGCAAGCGUUGUUCGGAAUUACUGGGCGUAAAGGGCGCGUAGGCGGCCUGCUAAGUCGAACGUGAAAUCCCUGGGCUCAACCCAGGAACUGCGUCCGAUACUUCCGAGCUGGAGGUAGGUAGGGGAGAUCGGAAUUCCUGGUGUAGCGGUGAAAUGCGCAGAUAUCAGGAGGAACACCGGUGGCGAAGGCGGAUCUCCUGGGCCUUACCUGACGCUGAGGCGCGAAAGCUAGGGGAGCGAACAGG